UACGUAGGGUGCAAGCGUUGUCCGGAAUUAUUGGGCGUAAAGAGCUCGUAGGCGGUUUGUCGCGUCUGCUGUGAAAACCCGCGGCUCAACUGUGGGCGUGCGGUCGAUACGGGCAUCACUGGAGUUCGGCAGGGGAGACUGGAAUUCCUGGUGUAGCGGUGAAAUGACGCAGAUAUCAGGAGGAACACCGGUGGCGAAGGCAGCUCGCUGGGACGGUACUGACGCUGAGGCGCGAAAGCGUGGGGAGCGAACAGG
rnacentral:rRNA from 1 species